AUUGAACGCUGGCGGCAGGCUUAACACAUGCAAGUCGAGCGAGCGGCGGACGGGUGAGUAAUGUCUGGGAAACUGCCUGAUGGAGGGGGAUAACUACUGGAAACGGUAGCUAAUACCGCAUACAUUCGAAUGUGCCCAGCUGGGAUUAGCUAGUAGGUGGGGUAAUGGCUCACCAAGGCGACGAUCCCUAGCUGGUCUGAGAUGAUGACCAGCCACACUGGAACUGAGACACGGUCCAGACUCCUACGGGAGGCAGCAGUGGGGAAUAUUGCACAAUGGGCGCAAGCCUGAUGCAGCCAUGCCGCGUGUGUGAAGAAGGCCUUCGGGUUGUAAAGCACUUUCAGCGAGGAGGCGUUACUCGCAGAAGAAGCACCGGCUAACUCCGUGCCAGCAGCCGCGGUAAUUC
rnacentral:rRNA from 1 species